UUCUUGGUCAUUUAGAGGAAGUAAAAGUCGUAACAAGGUUUCCGUAGGUGAACCUGCGGAAGGAUCAUUACAGUACCUUCUGUACAGUGUUGGCGCCUGCAAAGGCUGUCCAAUACUUCAAAACCUUGCAAACAAUUUAACGUUACCUCGGCGGGUUUGCCCGCUGGUGGAUAUACAUUAAACUCUUGUAAACAAGUUGUAAUUAGUGAAAAUUGUCUGAAAAUAAAUCUAAUAUAUUAAAACUUUCAACAACGGAUCUCUUGGUUCUGGCAUCGAUGAAGAACGCAGCGAAAUGCGAUAAGUAGUGUGAAUUGCAGAAUUCAGUGAAUCAUCGAAUCUUUGAACGCACAUUGCGCCCCUCGGUAUCCCGGGGGGCAUGCCUGUUCGAGCGUCAUUUCUAACACUCAAGUUCUACUUGGUAUUGGGCACUGUUAUUUCCGUCUUUUAGAUGGUAAACACGCCUUAAAUUUAGCCGGCAACAAGCACCAGUUCCGAGCGUAGCAGUAAAAACUUUCGCUUUUGGGAGCUUUGGGGCAUUGUUCACCGUAUAGUUUUU
rnacentral:rRNA from 1 species